UACGUCAACAUCCUUAACGAAUGUAAUCCGUUCUAACCUUUUGACCGUAAUACCUUAAUAUCAUAAGCACGCUUUCAAUACCAAGGUCACGUAUCAGAGAUCAGGCGGAUAGCCCAAAAGGGUAUUCGUUGCAAUCCUCGAUCCUAAUCAUCACAUUUACCAAAGGCUAUAACACUUCAAUACGAGAUCGAAGCUACAUUCCUCCAAUCCUUUUAUGAUGAAUCAAAAUCGAUGUUAACCUACCUGCGAGAAAGUACACCAAAAGAGCGAACAUUUUGAAAUCUUCAAGGUUUUGACACACUUCAAAACUCCAAAACCCCACUCGAAAGGUUGAUUUCCCGCUGGUACGACUGACUUCAAUCGUUUCCCUUUCAACAAUUUCACGUACUGUUUAACUCUCUUUUCAAAGUUCUUUUCAUCUUUCCCUCACGGUACUUGUUCGCUAUCGGUCUCUCGCCAAUAUUUAGCCUUAGGAGAAAUUUACCUCCCAUUUUGAGCUGCAAUCCCAAACAACUCGACUCUUCGAAAACGCAUCAUAAAGCAUCUUAGAAUUAACCAUGAACGGGAUUGUCACCCUCCAUGAUACCUCAUUCCAAAGGAUUUUGAUUAACUCAAGACACAGAAAACGUUUCUUUAAAUUACAACUCUGUCAGGUAGAACCGAACAGAUUUAAAAUUUGAGCUUGUCCCUCUUCACUCGCAGUUACUAGGGGAAUCAUUGUUAUUUUCUUUUCCUCCGCUUAUUGAUAUCG
rnacentral:rRNA from 1 species